UCCUCGAUAGCUCAAUGGCAGAGCACUCGGCUGUUAACCGAGGUGUUGUAGGUUCGAGCCCUACUCGGGGAG
rnacentral:tRNA from 1 species